rnacentral:rRNA from 1 species
AUUGAACGCUGGCGGCAGGCCUAACCCAUGCAAGUCGAACGAGUGGCGGACGGGAGUGUAAUGUCGGUAACUCUGCCUGAUGGAUGGGUCUCACUACUGAAAACUGUACCUAACACCGCCUACCUACAUCUGUGCCAACAUGGGAUUAGCUAGUUGGUGGUGUCACGGCUCACCAAGGCGACGAUCCCUAGCUGGUCGGAGAGGAUGACCAGUCACACGGGAACUGAGACACGGGCCAGACUCGUACGGGAGGCAGCAGUGGGGAAUAUUGCACAAUGGGCGCAAGCCUGAUGCAGCCAUGCCGCGUGUAUGAAGAAGGCCUUCGGGUUGUAAAGUACGUUCAGCGGGGAGGCGUUACCCGCAGAAGAAGCACCGGCUAACUCCGUGACAGCAGCCGCGGUAAUAC